rnacentral:rRNA from 1 species
AGAGUUUGAUCCUGGCUCAGAACGAACGCUGGCGGCGUGCUUAACACAUGCAAGUCGAGUGCGCGUGUCGUAGCAAUACGGCAUGGCGCACGGCGCACGGGUGCGUAACACGUGGGUACCUGCCCUUUGGUGGGGAAUAACUCCGCGAAAGCGGAGCUAAUUCCGCAUAAGAUCCGCAAGGAUGAAAGCCGCAAGGCGCC